GAAGAGUUUGAUCAUGGCUCAGGACGAACGCUGGCGGCGUGCCUAAUACAUGCAAGUAGAACGCUGAAGGAGGAGUUUGCUUCUCUGGAUGAGUUGCGAACGGGUGAGUAACGCGUAGGUAACCUGCCUGGUAGCGGGGGAUAACUAUUGGAAACGAUAGCUAAUACCGCAUAAGAGUAGAUGUUGCAUGACAUUUGCUUAAAAGGUGCAAUUGCAUCACUACCAGAUGGACCUGCGUUGUAUUAGCUAGUUGGUGGGGUAACGGCUCACCAAGGCGACGAUACAUAGCCGACCUGAGAGGGUGAUCGGCCACACUGGGACUGAGACACGGCCCAGACUCCUACGGGAGGCAGCAGUAGGGAAUCUUCGGCAAUGGACGGAAGUCUGACCGAGCAACGCCGCGUGAGUGAAGAAGGUUUUCGGAUCGUAAAGCUCUGUUGUAAGAGAAGAACGAGUGUGAGAGUGGAAAGUUCACACUGUGACGGUAUCUUACCAGAAAGGGACGGCUAACUACGUGCCAGCAGCCGCGGUAAUAC
rnacentral:rRNA from 1 species